rnacentral:rRNA from 1 species
UACGGAGGAUCCAAGCGUUAUCCGGAAUCAUUGGGUUUAAAGGGUCCGUAGGCGGGCAAAUAAGUCAGUGGUGAAAGUCUGCAGCUCAACUGUAGAAUUGCCAUUGAUACUGUUUGUCUUGAAUUGGUGUGAAGUGGUUACAAUAAGUAGUGUAGCGGUGAAAUGCAUAGAUAUUACUUAGAAUACCGAUUGCGAAGGCAGAUCACUAACACUAUAUUGACGCUGAUGGACGAAAGCGUGGGUAGCGAACAGG